GACGAACGCUGGCGGCGUGCUUAACACAUGCAAGUCGAACGGAAAGGCCCUGCUUGCAGGGUACUCGAGUGGCGAACGGGUGAGUAACACGUGGGUGAUCUGCCCUGCACUUCGGGAUAAGCCUGGGAAACUGGGUCUAAUACCGGAUAGGAGCCAUUUUUAGUGUGAUGGUUGGAAAGUUUUUUCGGUGUAGGAUGAGCUCGCGGCCUAUCAGCUUGUUGGUGGGGUAAUGGCCUACCAAGGCGGCGACGGGUAGCCGGCCUGAGAGGGUGGACGGCCACCUUGGGACUGAGAGACGGCCCAGACUCCUACGGGAGGCAGCAGUGGGGAAUAUUGCACAAUGGGCGCAAGCCUGAUGCAGCGACGCCGCGUGGGGGAUGACGGACUUCGGGUUGUAAACUCCUUUCGCUAGGGACGAAGCUUUUUGUGACGGUACCUAGAUAAGAAGCACCGGCUAACUACGUG
rnacentral:rRNA from 1 species